rnacentral:rRNA from 1 species
AUCCAGACUCCUACGGGAGGCAGCAGUGGGGAAUAUUGCACAAUGGGGGAAACCCUGAUGCAGCGACGCCGCGUGAGUGAAGAAGUAUUUCGGUAUGUAAAGCUCUAUCAGCAGGGAAGAAAAUGACGGUACCUGAUUAAGAAGCCCCGGCUAACUACGUGCCAGCAGCCGCGGUAAUACGUAGGGGGCAAGCGUUAUCCGGAUUUACUGGGUGUAAAGGGAGCGUAGACGGUGAUGCAAGUCAGAAGUGAAAGUCCGGGGCUCAACUCCGGGACUGCUUUUGAAACUGUGUGGCUGGAGUGCAGGAGAGGUAAGCGGAAUUCCUGGUGUAGCGGUGAAAUGCGUAGAUAUCAGGAGGAACACCAGUGGCGAAGGCGGCUUACUGGACUGUAACUGACGUUGAGGCUCGAAAGCGUGGGGAGCAAACAGGAUUAGAUACCCGAGUACU